rnacentral:rRNA from 1 species
UUGAACGCUGGCGGCAUGCCUUACACAUGCAAGUCGAACGGUAACGGGCCUUCGGGUGCCGACGCGUGGCGAACGGGUGAGUAAUACAUCGGAACGUGCCCGAUCGUGGGGGAUAACGAGGCGAAAGCUUUGCUAAUACCGCAUACGAUCUACGGAUGAAAGCAGGGGACCGCAAGGCCUUGCGCGGACGGAGCGGCCGAUGGCAGAUUAGGUAGUUGGUGGGAUAAAAGCUUACCAAGCCGACGAUCUGUAGCUGGUCUGAGAGGAUGAUCAGCCACACUGGGACUGAGACACGGCCCAGACUCCUACGGGAGGCAGCAGUGGGGAAUUUUGGACAAUGGGCGCAAGCCUGAUCCAGCCAUGCCGCGUGCAGGAUGAAGGCCUUCGGGUUGUAAACUGCUUUUGUACGGAACGAAAAGCCUUCUUUUAAUACAGGAGGGUCAUGACGGUACCGUAAGAAUAAGCACCGGCUAACUACGUG